AACCGUACCUAAAAACUCACUCAAACAAGCAUGCCAUAUGUGCAUACUUAACCAUUCCAACCCAAAUCACAAGACCAAUCACAAAUACAAAUUAAAUCAUGUAUCAAGCUUACUAAAUGAGCUAUUUAUAAGUUAUUCAAAUCAUUACUUAACCAAGACAUAUAACCAAAACCCCAUUCAUACAUGUCAUGGGACAUACUUAAAACAUGCCAAACCAUAUGGACAAAUACACUUUCUAUAGUAAACCAAAAUAACCAUAGCCUAUACAUGCCAUAUAACCAAGUCACAAAGUAUAUAAAUAUCGAAAUUAUUAGCUGGAUAGUGUGAUGCAAUCUCCGUCGACUUUCAACCCGAGCGAACGUCCCAAACACUGUAAAACAUAAAAAAAAUAACACCAAGUAAGCUAUAAAGCUUAGUAAGCUCGUAAUAUAAUAACUCAUAUUACUAAAUAAUCACAUUACAAACAAUUGCAUCAAGUCAUAAUAUAGCUCAUUUGAUUUCACAAUUCUACCUCAUAUUCAUGCACAUGAUUAAAUAAGAUUUCCACAAGUUUAUUCAUUUCAAAGCUCGUAUGCCUCUUAAACUUCUUAUCACUUCAUUCUCAUUUACAAAAACAUAAGCAACAAUAUAUAGCUUUAUUUGAUCCAUUAUUCAUCACAUUUCUAUAGCCGAAAGAAUCAUGUAAAUUAUCGUUAAAUAAUUGUAAUUCUCACUCAAUGUGCCAUAUUCAUAUCAUUAACACAAUCAUUGCUAAUAUCACACAUAUCAUUCAAUUCAUACCUCAUUAUAGCCAGAUAAACACAUAGGUUCUGAACGUACCUGUGUUGCUUAAUUCAAUUGAACUUUCAUUCUUAUCUUAACUUUGCGUGAUGAACCAUUCAGAAUCGUUAAAGAUACUCGGAAGUCUUGUAUAUCACAUACAAUGUCAUAUCUCAGAUAUGGUAUUACAUGUUAUCGCAUAUCGAUGUCAAUAGCCCAGCUAUGGUCUUACAUGAAUCAUAUAUUGAUGCUAAUGUCCCAUACAUGGUCUUACACGAAAUCACAUAACGAUGCCAAUGUCCUAGACAUGGUCUUACAUGUAAUCACAUAUAUCGAUGCUAUAUCCCAUAUAUGGUCUUACACAAAGUCUCAUACAUCGAUGCCAUAGCUCAGCUAUGGUCUUAUACGAAAUCAUGUAAUGCCAUGGUCCAACCACGGUCUUUUCCGCCAAUUCGUCUUUCGUUACGAAACGAUUGUGUUCGAUCCUGCAUUUUUACUUAUUUCAAACAUUUAAUUUAAGCUCCACAAUUAAAUCGAUUAUAUGAAUACAUUCAUAUUAUCAUUCAUCAAUUACAUAAAUAUACACUGAAGUUUGAUUAUAUGAACUUACCUCGAUUGCUAAAACGACAGAACGAAUCGACUGGUCCGAUACUUUAUCUUUUUUCCAAUCUAGAUCCGUAUUUCGCUUUUCUCGAUCUAAAUAUAAUCAAAAUCAGAUUAUUUAAUUAUCUCUCUAUUCAAUUUAAUCCAAAAUUUACCUUAAAUCAUAUUUACACUUUUGCCUCUAUAAUUUCACAUUUUUACAGUUUAGUCAUUAUCACAUAAAAUAACAAUUUCAUGAAAUUAAACACAAAUCCAAGCUAGCCGAAUUUUCCAUAUAUCACUAGCAGCCCAUAUUUUCAAUUUAUUUCACAUUUUAACCACUAAAUUUCCACAUUUCAUACUUUAAUCCAUAAUUGACAUUUUUAUCAAAAAUCACUUUAUAAAAGAUAAAAAUCUAACAUCAAAUAUUCAUAUUUCAUCAAAAACUAUCAAAGAGCUCAAUUAUUCAACAAUGAAAAUUCACAAAAUCUUUAACAAUUUUAGAAACGGAGGUACGAGUUAGCUAGAUUACGAAGCAACGAUAUUAAAAACGUAAAAAUUAUUAAAAACCAAGCAAAAACCACUCACCAAUUUGUCUUCAAAGUUUGGCCAAAUAACAAGCUCUCCCAUGGCUGAUUUUAGGUUGAAAUUUCGGUGAAGAUGGAUAGUGGAAGAAGAUGACACAAUUUGUUUUAUUUAAUUUAACAUAUAAUGCCUUUUUACUUAUUUAACCUUUAAUAACCUUAAUAACUACACCAAAUGCCACUCCACUAAAAUCCAAUAUCUCAAUAAUGGGUUAUUUAUCACAUAAGGACCUUCAAUUUAAAAUUAUAUAGAUAUUAGACACCUUUAGCAUAUAGAACACAACUUUUACACUUUACGCGAUUUAAUCCUUUUUAUCAAAUUAAGCACCCAAUUGAUAAAAUUUCUUCACUAAAUUUUUACACAAUCAUAAUAUCAUACUUUAUAUAUUAAAAUAAUAAUAAAAUAAAAUUUUCAACUUCGGAUUUAUGGUCCCGAAACCACUGUUCCGACUAGACCCAUAAAUCGAGCUGUUACAAAAAUGUAUUGUUUGAAACUAAUUAAGAAUAAUACAUGAAAUAUCUAUGGUAAUAAAAUGAUAAAAAAAUAUAUUAAAUUGUGAUUAAAAUGAAGUUUAAACACAUAAAUACAUCAUAUUAAGAAUAUUAAAUGAGUACAAUUAUUUAUUAUGGUACUAUCAUCAAUCAUGAGUUGGCGUUGAGUUAACUUGUGGCACCAACUCAAUCAGCAAUAUUAUUAAUAAUAAAUUCUAUUAUAUGCGUAUGCAUGUAAAAAUCACGUAUUUUAAAUAUAGAGGUAUUUUUGAAAAUAACAUAAAAUAAAUAAUGAAAUGUAUUGAAACUAAAUAAUAAUAACACAUUAAAUAUCUAUGGUAAUAAAAUCGAAAAAUUAGAUUAAAUUGUGAGUAAAAUAAAAUUUAAAAAUAUAAAUGCAUCAUAUUAAAAAUACUAAAUGAGUAUAAUAACUUGUGCAUAUUAAAAUAAAAAUGUAUAAAAAAUAUUAAAAUAAUGCUUUGGUUAAGUGGUAAAAUUAAUGUUUUACUAAUUCAAUUUGCAUGUGUUCAAAUUCCAUUAUAAGCAUAUUCAAAAAAUAUAACUUAUUUUAAUUAUGAAAAGACAUUUUCAUAAUUUUCCUACUGACUUGGUGUCUGGUUGGCACUCAUGACAUCAUUCAGGCUUCUUAAUUUAACAAAGAACACUGACGAGUUAAAUUUAACAAAAAAACUUUAAUGAUGUUAACAACUAGACUUAAAUUUUUAAAUUUGAAAUAUAAAUGGACAAAACUCUAGAAAAUAAAAGUAUAGGGACUGAAUUUCAAUGUAUGCAAAGAAUAAAAAAAAACUAGGAGUAUAUUGUAACAUUUAUAUUUUAAACCUAUAAUUUAAUAAAAAAUAAUUAACUCAAAAAUAAUUUAUGCUUAUUGGAAAAUAUGCUCUUUUAGACACCAUGUUUAGAACUAUUUAUAGUCUCUCCUCCCCAACCCAAAAAUAAGAAGAUAAUACAUUUCAGCACACUCAAACCCACACCCUCCUACAUUAACAACAAUGUAUUUGUCAAUCGAGCUAAGACUCAAUUACCUUGGUUGGAUUUUUUUUUCUUUUCUUUUUUCCUUCUAAAUAAAAUGGUUAAUUUGAAUUUAGUCUCUUUACUAUAAUUUGAUUUUUAUAGUUUUUUAUUCUUCGAAAUAUAUCUAUACUAUUAAUAAUUUUUUUAUUAAGUUAGUGUCACGGGUUAAUUGAAUAUCUACUGGGUUAGGAAAGUAUGGAAAUAUUCUUUGAUGAUAUUUUAGUUUUUUCAUUUUAACAAAAACUAAUAAAAAUAUACAUACAAUGAGAUUUGAACUCACAUCAAUUAAAGUAAUAAAACUUUAAAUAUAUCAUUCAACCAAAGUUUUAUUUUAAUUUUUUUAAUACAUUUUUAAAAAUAUGGAAAAUUUGCUAUCUUCACCGGUGUUAUAUAUUAAUAAUGUUAUUAAUUGAGUUAGUAUCACAAGUUAACUUGACUCUAACUCAUAACUAAUGAUAAAACCAUGAUAAAUAAUUGGUAUGCAUUUAAUAUUGUUUAUCUGAUGUAUUUGUGUUUAAAUGUCGUUUUACUCAUGAUUUAAUCUAAAUUUUUUUUAUUUUAAUAUCCUGCAUAUUUCUUGUGUUAUUAUGACUAAUUAGUUUCAAAUUAUACGUUUCAUUAUUUAUUGUAAAUAAUUUUUAAACACAUAUAUGUGUUCUAAAUUUGUGGUUUCUAUAUAAAUACGCAUGUGAUAAGAUUUCUAAUAAUUAUUUAUUGUAUGUUAUUUUUAAACAUAUUUUUAUUCUAAAUUUAUGGUUUUUUACAUGCACACGUGUGUCACCAUUCUAUAUGUAGAGAAAAAUCCCAUAUUUGAAAAGGAAAAGAAAAUAGUAGGGCAAAAUACCCAAAAAGACCAAUUUUUUUAAAUUUACCGAAAUGGGCACGGUAUUUUAUUAUUUACCGGAAUAGGCCUUUUUCCCUAAAUCGCGUCCACGUCAGUGCGAUGUCAGGGUACGUGUCAGCAAAUCACGUCUACGUCAGCGCGGUUUGCUGACGUGGACGUGAUUUGCUACCAUAUAGAGCUCCCCUGUGGACGCGAUUUCGUCGUGUUUCCCAGGUUAGGAUUUUUAGGGGUUUUGGAGAAAAAUAAUCAAAUAAGGGAUUAGGGUUUCGUAAUUAAAUUAAUUAAAAUUUAUUUAAAAUUGGAUUAUGUUUCAUGUUUAUGGGUUUUUAAGAUAAAAUCAAAGCAGGAUGAUUUAUCAAAAGGCUUUUUGAAGUGGCACCCACGUGUACGCGCUUUUGCUACAGUAGAUCCUGGAAAAAUAAUUUCGAGUUGACGUUUCUGAGCAAAUAGUUUAAAAAACGCUUCAAGCAGGAUACUUUAUGAGAAGAGCUUGUGAAAUCGCGUCCUCGUGGACGCGCUUUUGCUACAGUUGGUCCUGGAAGAAAUAAUUUCGAGUUGACGUUUCUGAACAAAUAGUUUAAAAAAACGCUUCAAGCAGGACGCUUUAUGAGAAGAAUUUAUGAAAUCGCGCCCACAUGAACGCGCUUUUGCUACAGUAGGUCCUGAAAAAAUAAUUUCGAGUUGACGUUUCUGAGCAAAUAGUGUAAAACAAUGCUGCAAGCAGGAUGCUAUUUAAGAAGAAUUUGUGAAAUCGCGCCCUCGUGGACGCGUUUUUGCUACAAUAGGUCUUGGAAAAAUAAUUUUGACUUGACGUUUCUGAGCAAAUAGUAUAAAAUCUCUUCUAGUAGGAUAUUUUAUGAGAAGAAUUUGUGAAAUCGCGCCCACGUGGAGCGAUUUUGCUACAGUAGCAUGUUUGGGCUGAUGCUAUAAAUGAGGCAAAAAUGUUCUCAGAAUGCAUAAGUCAUAGCAGAAACAAUUUAGAGAGGCUAAGAAGGUUAGAGUUUCAAAUAUGAGUGAACGUAUUAGUGCUGUUAUUUACUACGAUGGUGAGGUUUGCCACAACGAGAAUGGUGUUAUUUUAUUGUUGGAGAAUACGGUGCGACUAGUUUUUAACUAGAACAUAGAUUUGACAGAACUUCGUAAAAGAUUUAGGCGUAAAAUUUUCGAAACGACUCCAAUGAAAGUUCUGUCUAUUACGUAUCGAUUUUGUUCUUCUGUUGAUCCGGUGACAUAUGACUCGUUCGACAUAAAAUGUGCUCGUAGCUUGGAGGCAAUGGUGCAGACUCAUCUUGCUAGUGGAGCACAUUAUAUUGAGUUAUAUGUACAAUUUACAUCGCCAAAUGAUGUACUUAUGACCGGUGUUCGAGAUGUAUACACGAUUCUUGGCUGACAUUCGGUUAGUGGGUUACAAAAUACGGAACAGCCAAUGUUUGGUAGUGGUGUUGAAUGUACAUCCCCCGCAAGACACUCUGUCGGUGGAUGAGACAUGUACGUCGAUGGCUCGAUGUUUGAUGCUGGAAAUACGUACUGGGGAACGACAUUAAGUUCUAGUGGUUGGCAAUCUACAUCCAAUUGGGGACGUUAUGAAAUGCCCAGAAGAAGGGAUGAUGUACUCCCUACGACGUCAACCGGUGAGGGGACCUCGUACGUUGUAGAUGAUUGUGGGUUAGAAGAUGACUCCGAUGUGGAUCCACCUCGAGAGCCCAGGCCCGAUGGUGCAGAAGUUGGCUUAUUUUCUGAACCGGAGCCUAUUCCAAUAGAACUUGAAGAUGCUAAAAGGAGUUCAGAUGAAGAAGAAAAUCCACGAUUCAGAGCAUACUCAUCUCCAGCCUAUGUCGAUCUGUCUGCAGAUGAUGCGUUAGAGUUUCCAGAUCUACCACACCGAUUGCGUGAUCGUACAAGCUAAGGGCUAGAUUCGAGUGAAUUUGAAGUUGGUAAUCAGUUUACCAACAAUGAUAGUUUUAUUGGUGCUUUGAAACAACAUAGCAUUAAAAAUGAUGUUAACUACCACGUUUUAAAUCCAAAUCUAAUAAGUUUGAGGCGAAGUGCGCGGUGCAAGACGGCACAUGUUCAUGGAAAAUCUACGUCUCAUUAAGGAAAAGGACAGGGUUAUGGGAGAUUAAAAAGUACAAAGGUCUACAUACAUGUGCUGCAGGUACAGUAUUGACGGUUUCUGAAUAGUACUUUUAUUAUGUAAUGUUGCAUUAUUUAAUGUACUCCGUUUAUAGGUGUUUUACAAGAUCAUCCCAAGAUGGAUUCAGCUAUGUUAGCUAGCUUGAUACUGCCCACGGUAAAAGCAAAUCCGAGGACUUCAGUACCGGUGUUAAUUGCCAAUAUCCAUAGCCAAAUGGGCUACACGCCCUCUUACCGCAAGGCUUGGAUAGCUAAGCAAAAGGCGUUGGAGAAGAUGCACAGUGGGUGGGACGCUUCAUAUAAUGAAAUAUGGUAGUAGUGUCAAGUGCUAGAGAGAUACGUCUCUGGUGCCAUCAUAGACCUUGAAACGGAACAUACGUACUACAACGGCCGAUUGCUAUAUGGAUGCCAAGUGUUCAAACGCUUGUUUUAGACCUUUAAAUAAUACCGAGACUCAUUUCCAUACUGCAAGCCAUUGGUACAAAUUAACGAUACCUUUAUGUUGGGUAGGUAUACUCAUCAGCUAUUGCUUGCAAUGGCACAGGAUGGCGGUGGGAGAAUUCUUCCAAUUGCAUUUACAAUAACACCGAGGGAGUCGUCUGAUGAUUGAGAUUUCUUUCUCUCCAGGUUAAGGAGGCAUGUAUGCCCCCAACUUGAUAUCUGUGUUAUUUCAGAUCAGGGCGCCGGUAUACUAGCUACAUUUGAUAGGCAGGGAAGCUUAUGGCAGCGCACACACCAUCGAUAUUGCAUAAGACACGUUGCUUCCAACUACUACAAGUAAUAUCCAUCUAAGAGCGAACGACGACAAGUGACCAACAUAGGUAUUUAGUCUAUAUCUGUGUUAUUUCGUUUGUCAAUUUGAAUUAGUUUUAUUGGUAGAAGUGAUAUGUAAUUUUCGCUAUGAACUUAUAUUGGCAGGGUAUGAAAUAAAUAAAGACCGUUUUCACAAGAUGUUGGCAAUUUUAUGUUCAACUAACGGAGAAGGGGUGGAUUACCUUUGUAACAUGCGUUUCAAACAGUGGGCACAAACAUACGACAGCGACCUACGAUAUGGCCAUAUGAUGUCAAACAUGGCUGAAUGCAUAAAUUCUGUUAUUAAAAGAACGCGUCAUCUACCGAUAACAUCGGUUAUGCGAGAGACAUUUUUUCAUUUGGCGGCGCUAUUUCUAAAGCGAGCAACAAGUUAUGCAGGCCAGAUGCAGAGAGGUCAUGUAUGGUAUAGUAAGGUAGCUCAAGAAAUUAACAAGGCCAAGGUACGGGCAAACACCAUGCACACAGUGUGUCACGAUCGAGACAACUUAUGGUUUCGCGUGACAGAGUUUAACAGACCGUACCAAGGUGUUAUUGGCGGGCAAUAUCGUGUACACUUGCGAAAUAAGACUUGCGACUGUGGGAUGUUUGAUGCACUUCGUUAUCUAUGCUCUCAUAUUAUUGCAGCUUGUCAAAAUCUCCGUCUAGAUUCGAUGAGCUAUGUGGACGAAGUGUACAAAUUAGAAAACAUGUACAAUGUUUGGAGACACGUUUUCUCAUCGGUCCCAGAUGAACGUAAGUGGCCGCCCGUAUCUCUUGCUCAUUUUAAGCUGUUACCGGAUAGAGGAUUGCGUUGCAAACCAAAGGGUCGACCUUGCUCGACUAGAAUACGUAACAAUAUGGAUAUCCGAGAAGCAGCUAGUCAACAGAAGUUGUGCUGAUGGUGUAAAAAUCCAGGCCAUACAAGUCGAUCAUGCCCUAAUUGCAAUAGUUGAAUGUAAUAGUAAAAAAAAUUAUAUUUGUUCAAUUAUUAAUUGAUAAUUGUAUUAAUUGUUAGUAAAAUUAUCAAAUUAUAUCAAAUUAUUAAUUGUUAGUACUAGUAAAAACAUUUUUCCAAAUCUAACAUUACGUGAAUGUAAAAUUAUUAACUGAUAAUUGUAUUAAUGGUUAGUAAAAUUAUCAAAUUAUAUUUAAGUUAAGGGCUAGGGUUUUUAAGUUAAGUGUUGGGUUUUUUAUUUAAUGGUUACGGUUUUAAAGUUAAGGGUUUAGGGUUUUUAAUUUAAGGAUUACAUUUAUUAAGUUAAGGGUUUAGGGUUUUUAAUUUAAGUGUUAGGGUUUUUAAUUUAAGGAUUAAGGUUUUUAAGGUUUUAGGGUUUAAGGUUUUUAAUUUAAGGGUUUAGGGUUUUUAAGUUAAGAGUUUAAGAUUUUAGGAUUUUAUGGUUUAGGGUUAUUAAUUUAAGGAUUUAGUGUUUUAAGUUAAUGGUUUAGGGUUUUAGGGUUUAGAGUUUAGGGUUUAAGGUUUUUAAGUUAAAGGUUUAGGGUUUAGGGUUAAGGUUUGUAGGUUAAGGGUUUAUGUGUUUAGGGUUUUAAAGUUUUAGGGUUUAGGGUUAAGGUUUGUAGGUUAAGGGUUUAUGUGUUAAGGGUUUAUGGUUUUUAGGGUUUAGGGUUUAGGAUUUAAAGUUUUCAAGUUAAGGGUUUAUGGUUUAUAGUUUUAUGAUUUAGGAUUUUUAAGUUAAGGGUUUAAGGUUUUAAGUUAAGGGUUAGGUUUUUUAAAUUAAGGAUUUAUGGGUUUUAAGGUUUAAGGUUUAAAGUUUUUAAGUUAAAGGUUUAGGGUUUUAAGUUAAGGGUUUGGGUUUGUAGGUUAAGAGUUUAUGGUUUUUAAAUUAAAGGUUUAUGGUUUUUAAUUUAAGGGUUAGGGUUUUAAGUUAAGGGUUUAGGGUUAGGGUUAGGGUUUUUAGGUUAAGGGUUUAAGGUUUGUCAAUUAAAUUAUGCAUUUAAUUAUAAAUUAUAAAUUUAUAAAUUUUUAAUAAAUUAGUUUAGCGCUUUUAAGUAAUAUUGGUAAAAAAAAUUCAAUUUUAUUAUAUCAAAUAAUAUAAAAAUAUUCAAAAUAUUUGUACAAAUAAAUUUAAAUACAAAAAUCAAUGUCUGUGCCUGCUGGAUUCAGUGCCACAUGGUGGCCGUCGAUGGUUACGCACUGGAUUCCUCUUUUGUCCAGCUUCCGGCGGCAGUUGUGAUUCUUUCAGCGGGGAUUCUGGUUCUUCCGGUAGGACAUCUGGUUGUCGGAGUUGGGACGAUGAGCCAUCUUGAUAGAAUAGUGAAUGUGGAGGUGUUUGCAUCACCAACGGCGACGGUGUUUGAAACACAUAUGGUGGUGGGGAUUGGAAAAAAGAAGAGCUCACUGACGGCCCUUCUGGCGAUCCCUCGUGCGUCGCUGGCCUAUACAUCAGCAGUCCACUCAGCGUAACAGGAAAUAGAGCUGAACUGGGCCAUUGGCUCCAACCUGCCAUAGGACUCGGAAAAGGAAACAUAUAAGGGUUAGGAUACAUAAAAGGGCUAGGAAAAGCACUUGGCAUCAUCUGAAAAGGCGGUUGCGUGGGUAUCAUCGGUUGAAUUGCUGGGUCGGGUGAUUGUGUCGGUGCUAUCGUUGGAUUUGGUGAUUGAAUGGCCUCUGAUGAUGGGCCAGGUGAAUGUCUGGGCCUAGUUGAGGGGCCAGCAUCGUCGUCUUAUCGUCUUGGAUUUAAAGGCUCUCGUCUUUCCCUUUGGACACGUAAUUGCCACUGCCUCUCCUCUGGCAACAGUAAAUACGGCUUGCCAUGGAUCCUAAACCAUGGCAUGUAUUCCGGCAUGCACGCUAACUCUGGAACGAUGAUCGGUUCCCUAGUAGGUAUAUAAUCAUACCGAUCUUCCCACAUUUAGAUGUACUCAGACCAGAAUCUCGGCCAAUCCGUAUUCAAUUGUCGAAGGUCGAUUUUGUGGUGAUCGUCAAACACCUCAUGUUCCACGGGAAUCGGUUGUCUAUAUCCAAAUUGCCAUAACACCCUGUCUAACUGGUGCAUCUCCACGGUCGCGUAGUUGAUCAAUGCGAUUUUUGCGUGCCAAGCGUUUGGAUUUUGUAAGAAUUCAUCCGGAAUUACUGCCCGAAUUGCCGGAUCCUCGUAUGGUGUCCAUUGAAACUAUACGAACAUGAUAGAAAUAUUAGAUACUAAAUACUAAAUACCAAUCGACUAGCGAAUGAUGGAAAUAUCAAUUUUAUUUAAUACUUACCGGAUGGUUCCACCUAAUUAAAUAAAUUUUUAGCAUACUUUUGUUUUUUAAAAAUCUAAAUAAUAAUUGUAAAAUCUAAUAUAAAAUUUACCUCGUUAUGAGUGGGAAUGUAUAUGGGUGGUCCACUCGAGAACGCAGAAAUGGAAAGUGAAACCGUGCCCAUGACUGCAGUAGUGACAGGCAACCUCCGAUUUUUUCUUUCUUCGAUCGCGUCCCCCUCGCACAUCUCCCGAUAUAACGUUGCCAAGACGGCAGACCCCCAACUUAAUUCACCAGCUGCUCUAAAAUCAACGAGUUUCAACAGCCAUCUUAGAUGUACGCAGCUCCGUGACAAGUCCGGCAUCAGAUAACCUCCAAUUAACUGAAGAAUGUAUGUCCGAGCAUAUCGAAUUCUUUCUAUCUCGGUUGAAUCUUCAUCCGGAUCCGGGAAUGUGUCUCGUAACCAGCCCAUCUCGAUCUUACCUCUGUCCAUUUUCUCCGGAAUAGCGCCCAAAGGCUCAUAGCACACCGCUCCCCAAUCGCUAGAUUGGGCAGACUCGAUGACUGGGUACCCGUCCACCGGCAAUCCUAAUUGCAGACUGACAUCUUUUAAAGUGAUAGUGCACUCUCCACAUGAAAGAUGGAAUGUGUGCGUCUCGGGUCUCCACCUCUCAAUCAACGCACUGAUUAGUUUCGGUUCCACCUUACAUCCCCGGCCUACCGUCGCCACGUGCCAAAAACCCGCUUCCCACAGGUAGUUCUCUACCAACGGUGAUGGAGGAGCAUGCAUAUUCCGGAUAUUGCAGUCCAAUAUCCGAUCUACAGACUUUUAUAAUAAAUAAUAAAUUAAUAAUUAUCUAAAAAUGCAUAAAUAAAAAAUUCUUAAAUAAUAUUUAAAAAUUAAAUUUAACGUUUACCAUUUUCAUUUGUUCCACCGAUAUGUGCUGCCUAUCAAGACGAGUUAAUUCUCCGGCUAUUGCUGAAAUCGUACAAAUUUUUACGGUUUAAAAUUUUUUUAAAAAAUAAAUUUUUUUAAAAAUUAUUUAAAAAGAGGGAUUUAAGAGAAAUUUAAGAGGAACUUGAGAGCAAAUUGAGAUUAAAUAUGGAUUUGAGAGAAAUUUGGAAGGAAUUUGAGAGUAAAUUGAGAGGAAAUUUGAGAGAGGAUUAGUUUGUGAAAAAAAAGGGUGGGGGUAUUUAUAGUCUUUUUUUAACCGUUGGGGGGGCAACGGUCAAUUUUUUUACUGUUGCACUGUUCACGCGCGGGGCAAAUCGCGUCCCAAGGAGUGCGCUCCACGUCAGCAAAUCGCGUCCAUGUCAGCGUGGUUUGCUGACGUGGACACAAAUCGCUCUGACGUGGACGUGAUUUGUGUCCACAUCAUCAAAACGCGUUGACGUGGACGCGGUUUGCUGAUAUGUACCCUGACAUCGCGCUGACGUAAACGCGAUUUAAGGGAAAAGGUCCCAUUUCGAUAAAUAAUAAAAUACCGGGCCAUUUCGGUAAAUUUAAAAAAUUGAACUUUUAAUGGUAAAUUAGCCGAAAUAGUAUUCCAUAAAAUAAAUUGCAGACCACAAAAGCAUUUGCAAAUUGCGGGGUCCAACAUCAAAUCUGCCACUAGCCACCUAAACCACCGUCAACCCACUACCACAUAAUUUCGACGAAUAUCACCUUUCUCAGGUAAAGAGCUACUUCUUCUUUUUUCUCUCUAAAAAAGGGUUAAUCAAUACAAAUAAGGGUUUUCAUCACUAUUUUAAAGAAAUUUUAGAAAAUGUCGCAUUAAUUUCGAAGAAAGUUGCUCUUAUCCUAUUCAACUGACAAAAAAAAAAGAUUAAGUUUAGAACAACUUUUAAUUGAAAUCAUACAUUUAACGUCUAAUCUCGAAAAUCUUUGUAUUCAAAGUUUAAACUCUCUCGAAUCUCAUUUUCAAGAUUAAGUCUCGGCAACUUUUAAAGUAAACUUCACUGGUUCAAGAUCAAGACUAAAAAACCUUUUAAUCUAAAUCAAAUUCUCAAACAAACAUCUAUCCAAAUCUAGUUUUAAGAUCGAAUUUCAAUCACCCUUAAAGCAACCCGCAUUCAUCAUAAAAUUAAAUCUAGACAUAUCAAAAUUCGAUUGGAAAAAA
rnacentral:lncRNA from 1 species